rnacentral:rRNA from 1 species
AUUGGAGGGCAAGUCUGGUGCCAGCAGCCGCGGUAAUUCCAGCUCCAAUAGCGUAUAUUAAAGUUGUUGCGGUUAAAAAGCUCGUAGUUCGAGUUGAGUUUGGGAGUGGGGUGGGAGGUCACCGCCCGGUGCUUCCCCCCUAGGUCCUGGACAGCUUCCGUGAGUGGAAGCCAAGCCAGUUGUUGCGGGGUGCUCUUUACCGAGUGUGCCGUGCGGCCGGUGAGUUCACCUUGAAUAAAUGAGAGUGCUCAAAGCAGGCUACUCUUGAAUACAAUGCCGGAAUGUUAGCUGCAUGGAAUGAUGGAAGAUGAUCUGGGUUCCAUUUUGUUGGUGGUGGGAGCCCCAGUUAAUGAUAAAGAGGGACUGUCGGGGGCAUCCGUACUACGACGCGAGAGGUGAAAUUCAGUGACCGUCGUAGGACGAACAACAGCGAAAGCAUUUGCCAAGAAUGUCUUCGUUGAUCAAGAACGAAAGUUAGAGGAUCGAAGGCGAUCAGAUACCGCCCUAGUUCUAACCCUAAACGAUGCUGACUAGCAAUUCGCCGUCGUUAUUCCCAUGACGUGGCGAGACGCCCCCGGGAAACCUCAAGUUUUUGAGUUCCGGGGGUAGUAUGGUUGCAAAAGUGAAACUUAAAGGAAUUGACGGAAGGGCACCACCAUGAGUGGAGCCUGCGGCUUAAUU